rnacentral:rRNA from 1 species
UUACGAGGUCAGGACACUGUGAGGAUUGACAGAUUGAAAGCCCUUUCUUGAUUCAGUGGGUGGUGGUGCAUGGCCGUUCUUAGUUGGUGGAGUGAUUUGUCUGGUUAAUUCCGUUAACGAACGAGACCUUAACCUGCUAAAUAGUCACGCGAACCGGUCCGCAAGGGCUCAAAGUUCGCGGCUCGACUUCUUAGAGGGACUAUUCGCACCCGCCAGCGAAUGGAAGUUUGAGGCAAUAACAGGUCUGUGAUGCCCUUAGAUGUUCUCGGCCGCACGCGCGUUACACUGACGGAGUCAACGAGCGUUUUUCCUUGCCCGAUAGGGUUGGGUAACCUCCUGAAACUCCGUCGUGGUGGGGAUAGAUCAUUGCAAUUAUUGAUCUUGAACGAGGAAUUCCUAGUAGGCGCGAGUCAUCAACUCGCGCCGAUAACGUCCCUGCCCUUUGUACACACCGCCCGUCGCUCCUACCGAUUGAACGGUCCGGCGAGAACUCCGGAUGGUC